rnacentral:rRNA from 1 species
UGUUAUUGAAUAUAAAGAAAAGACGAACAGCUCAGUAACUCUUAUUUUAUUUGAUGUAUUAGGAUUAUAACUAUGUUAAAUUAUAGAUAACAAUAAUACAAUAAGAAUAAGAUCUAUCAGUUAGUUGUUAAGGUAAUGGCUUAACAAGACUAUGACGGAUAACGGUAUUACUUUGUAAUAUUCCGGAGAAGGAGCCUGAGAGAUUGCUACUAAGUCUAAGGAUUGCAGCAGGGGCGAAACUUGACCUAUGAUAUGAUAUUGAGGCAGUUAUGAGUAGUAUUUUUAAUUAUUGUAGUAUUGUAAGUAUAUACUACAAGAUAAAUCGGAGGGCAAAUCGAGUGCCAGCAGCCGCGGUAAUACUUGUUCCGAUAGUGUGUAUGAUGAUUGAUGCAGUUAAAAAGUCUGUAGUUUAUGAUUAAUAAGCAUUGUGAGGUAUAUUGUAUGGUUAGGAGAGAGAUGAAAUGUGAUAACCCUAACUGGAUGAACAGAAGCGAAAGCUAUAUACUUAAAUGUAUUAUUAGAACAAGGACGUAAGCUAGAGGAUCGAAGAUGAUUAGAUACCAUUGUAGUUCUAGCAGUAAACUAUGUUAAAUCAUAGAUACAUUUUAAUAUGUAUUUAUGUAAAGAAAUUAAGAUUAUAUUGACUCUGGGGAUAGUAUGAUCGCAAGAUUGAAAAUUAAAGAAAUUGACGGAAGAAUACCACAAGGAGUGGAUUGUGCGGC